rnacentral:lncRNA from 1 species
AAAGGUUGCAAGGUAGUGACUAAUCCCAACUAAAGUUGUGAUACCUCUAAAACAUAAAUUAUGAGUUGGUGAAAAAUGGACGCUUUGGAUCGUUAGAUCCGGAUCCAAUACCUUCUUGUUAAAAUUGUAUAGGAGGCGAAAUGUUCGAAUCUUUAUUCUUUUGGAAAGAAGAAAGAAUCACAAAGUUGUUGAGGUUAAUUCACUUAAAUGUUAGUGGCACUUGUCCACAAACAUAAUACUACUCAUGUUGUAUGACAUUCACCGAAGAACACUCUCGGUUGGACUAUAGUUUAUUUUGAAUAAACACAAGUCCGAAUACUUUGCAAAAUGUUUCAAAGAAUUCAAGAAAUGUAAGUUGAUGAGUAAGACAUCUAAA